GACUCUACAAGGUGUUGAAAGCGUUCCACAGGGAUGCUGGCCCAUGUUGACUCUACAAGGUGUUGAAAGCGUUCCACAGGGAUGCUGGCCCGUGUUGACUCUACAAGGUGUCUAAAGCGUUCCACAGGGAUGCUGGCCCCAUGUUGACUCUACAAGGUGUUGAAAGCGUUCCACAGGGAUGCUGGCCCAUGUUGACUCUACAAGGUGUUGAAAGCGUUCCACAGGGAUGCUGGUCCAUGUUGACUCUACAAGGUGUUGAAAGCGUUCCACAGGGAUGCUGGCCCAUGUUGACUCUACAAGGUGUCUAAAGCGUUCCACAGGGAUGCUGGCCCAUGUUGACUCUACAAGGUGUAGAAAGCGUUCCACAGGGAUGCUGGUCCAUGUUGACUCUACAAGGUGUCUAAAGCGUUCCACAGGGAUGCUGGCCCAUGUUGACUCUACAAGGUGUAGAAAGCGUUCCACAGGGAUGCUGGCCCAUGUUGACUCCACAAGGUGUUGAAAGCGUUCCACAGGGAUGCUGGCCCAUGUUGACUCCACAAGGUGUUGAAAGCGUUCCACAGGGAUGCUGGCCCAUGUUGACUCCACAAGGUGUUGAAAGCGUUCCACAGGGAUGCUGGCCCAUGUUGACUCUACAAGGUGUAGAAAGCGUUCCACAGGGAUGCUGGCCCCAUGUUGACUCUACAAGGUGUUGAAAGCGUUCCACAGGGAUGCUGGCCCAUGUUGACUCUACAAGGUGUUGAAAGCGUUCCACAGGGAUGCUGGUCCAUGUUGACUCUACAAGGUGUUGAAAGCGUUCCACAGGGAUGCUGGCCCAUGUUGACUCUACAAGGUGUUGAAAGCGUUCCACAGGGAUGCUGGCCCAUGUUGACUCUACAAGGUGUCUAAAGCGUUCCACAGGGAUGCUGGCCCAUGUUGACUCUACAAGGUGUUGAAAGCGUUCCACAGGGAUGCUGGCCCAUGUUGACUCUACAAGGUGUUGAAAGCGUUCCACAGGGAUGCUGGCCCAUGUUGACUCCACAAGGUGUUGAAAGCGUUCCACAGGGAUGCUGGCCCCAUGUUGACUCUACAAGGUGUUGAAAGCGUUCCACAGGGAUGCUGGCCCAUGUUGACUCUACAAGGUGUUGAAAGCGUUCCACAGGGAUGCUGGCCCCAUGUUGACUCUACAAGGUGUUGAAAGCGUUCCACAGGGAUGCUGGCCCAUGUUGACUCUACAAGGUGUUGAAAGCGUUCCACAGGGAUGCUGGCCCAUGUUGACUCCACAAGGUGUUGAAAGCGUUCCACAGGGAUGCUGGCCCCAUGUUGACUCUACAAGGUGUUGAAAGCGUUCCACAGGGAUGCUGGCCCAUGUUGACUCUACAAGGUGUUGAAAGCGUUCCACAGGGAUGCUGGCCCCAUGUUGACUCUACAAGGUGUUGAAAGCGUUCCACAGGGAUGCUGGCCCAUGUUGACUCUACAAGGUGUUGAAAGCGUUCCACAGGGAUGCUGGCCCCAUGUUGACUCUACAAGGUGUUGAAAGCGUUCCACAGGGAUGCUGGCCCCAUGUUGACUCUACAAGGUGUUGAAAGCGUUCCACAGGGAUGCUGGUCCAUGUUGACUCUACAAGGUGUUGAAAGCGUUCCACAGGGAUGCUGGCCCAUGUUGACUCUACAAGGUGUUGAAAGCGUUCCACAGGGAUGCUGGUCCAUGUUGACUCCAAUGCUUCCCACAGUUGUCUAAAACCCAGCAGCGUUGCAGUUCUUGACUCAACCCGGUGCGCCUGGCACCUACUACCAAACCUCGUUCAAAGGCACUUCAAUAUUUUUUGUCUUGCU